rnacentral:rRNA from 1 species
AUUGAACGCUGGCGGCAUGCUUUACACAUGCAAGUCGGACGGCAGCGGGGUAGUGCUUGCACUACUGCCGGCGAGUGGCGAACGGGUGAGUAAUAUAUUGGAACGUACCGAGUAAUGGGGGAUAACCAAUCGAAAGAUUGGCUAAUACCGCAUACGCUCUGAGGAGGAAAGCAGGGGACCUUCGGGCCUUGCGUUAUUCGAGCGGCCAAUAUCUGAUUAGCUAGUUGGUGGGGUAAGGGCCUACCAAGGCGACGAUCAGUAGCGGGUCUGAGAGGAUGAUCCGCCACACGGGGACUGAGACACGGCCCAGACUCCUACGGGAGGCAGCAGUGGGGAAUUUUGGACAAUGGGCGCAAGCCUGAUCCAGCCAUGCCGCGUGUCUGAAGAAGGCCUUCGGGUUGUAAAGGACUUUUGUUAGGGAAGAAAAAGGAGCGGUUAAUACCCGUUUCUGCUGACGGUACCUAAAGAAUAAGCACCGGCUAACUACGUG